rnacentral:lncRNA from 1 species
UAGGUUUCUCUUUCAAUUGCUCUUUCUUCUGAGUUUUAUUCUUGGAUCUGAUUUAUUAUGCUUUGUAAUCGCCGGAUAGAUUUCUUAUCAUUCUUAGAUGCGUAUCUGUUUGUGUGUUUACAUGUCAAAUCGGUGUCGUUUUAAGUAGACUAUACAUAUCUUUGUCUGUGUAAUUAAUUGAUAUUUGCUGCGUAUUGUUGUGAAAUGCUUUGUAUGUGUUUGCUUAUGCGUCUGUGUAUUGCUGUAUGAUAUAUGUAUUUGUGUGAUUGCGCUUAUUUUGAUUGGAAUGAGGGGUUUUGCCUUUUGUCAUGGGAUUUUUCGAAAGCGAAAGAGGGGAAAUAGUGAGAUUAAUGUUAUAACAUGGAGGAAUGUUGGAUUAUUGCAGUUAUAAAUCAGCUCAGUUUCUGUAAAAACAACACAAGUGGAGAAUAUAAGUCGGAAUACUUAUUUUUAGUUUUGAAAAUCAGACUUUUUAUUGGGCUUUUGCAUUUGGCUCUAACUCGCUACUUGGGGUCAAGAUGGUGGUUUGAUUUGCAAAAACAAAAGUUAUGAAUUUCAGUUUUGCAUCUAGUGUAUAAUAGUAGGCAUUUUAAUUUUCAGCUAUGAUUCAAUGACACUGUGGAUAAAAAGAACGCUUUUUGACUUGUGUUAGAAAUAGAAGUCAGGCCUUGCUGGUUUUAUACAAUGACAAUGUUGUACCGACCUUGAGUUGAGGGACACUAGUAGUUAUUCAUUGUACUUCUUAAAUUAGGGUUAAUGCUCUAUUUCAUCACUGUACUCGAUCAAAAUUUUCAGUUGGCCUACCGAGUGAAAAAAGCUUUCAGUCAACUAAUUGUAACAUUUAGAACUUGCAAUUAGGUCAUUCCGUUAGUCUCCGUUAAAAACGUAAUGUGUUAAUGUUCUAUUUCAUCAUUGUUUUUGCUCAAAAUUUUCAUUUGCCCUACCGAGUAAAGGACAACUUUACAAGCAAUUUCCCUUCCACCUCCUCAUGCUCCUGAUUUUUUCUUCCACCUUUACUAUGGUGUCAAUGCAUUAGGCACAUGAUUUCAAUGAGAAUGAAUAUAAAAAUAGUACUGAAUAAUAAAACAAACCAGUGACUACCUUUUAGUUUUACAAGCUUGAGGAAUGAAUUAAUAGUUUAUAUGGCAUUUGGCAUUUGCACCCUUGCCCCAGGUAUAAAUCUCUGUUUUCGAAGUCAAAACGGCAAUGUGAUGGGAGCCACAUGCAAUGUCUUCAACAAAACAGUCGGCAAUCUUACCCUCGAUACAGAUAGGAGUUUUACCCUCGUCUGUCCGUAAACAGUGCUCCUGUUUGUGUAUAAAAACAGUGCUCCUGUUUGUGUAUAAUCCAAAUCUUUCUCCUCCCCCGGCCUUCUAUGUCUGAAAAUCUGAAAGCCCCAAACUAACUUGAAGAACCCUAAUUUACACAUGUAAAUCUGAAAAUAUAUGCGAUUCCGUUAAAGUUAACGUUUUCCGUUAAAGUCAAACACAUGGUUAACGGCGGUGAAAUGUUUUUCAAGCUUAGUUAUGUGAUUGUAAGUUUUUAGAUGCUUUAUUAUUUAAAUGAAAACUUUUUUGACUCGGUAGACCACUUGAAAGUUUUGGUCCAGUACAAUGACCAAAUAGAGUAUUAACCCUCUUAAAUUAUAUGUAUUUGAUGUUUCUUACAAUGUCAGUUCAUGUCGCCCCAUGUGUUGAAAUGUAGGGGUUAGUAAUUUAUCAACUUUCAUGCCAUCUUAUGGUGAAAAAUGUUUUGUCUUUCUAUCUAUAUGAAUUUGGCUACAUCCUUUUGUAAGUACAUGUCUUGUGUGCUUGGAAAUUGUGAUUUUUUAUUUUCACCUGAAGUAAUACAAUAGAAAUAGAUUACUUUUAGGGGUUUCACUUUUCUAAUCAGUUAUAUUUACAUAUGGUAGUUCUAUUGGAACUGAAGUUAAAGCUCCGAUACUUACAAAUUCUGUAACAAACUCCUGUGAUUAUAAUGAUUAUAAAAAUGGAAUUUCUUUCAUUUGUUAUAGAUGUUGGAAUUUGGGUGACCUGUUUGCCUAAUCAUUUACAACUACUUAGGUAUUUUAUGUUUCAAUGGCAUUGGCUUAUAACCACGGUGGUUGUAAAUAUCUGUUGGAGGAUGUCGUGCAAACCGAGUUUUGGUGCCGAUUAGAAUGAUUUUUUUAAAUUGGUUGAGGUUGUAUGCAUGCUGAAUAUAUUCUGUAGUGUUGGGUGGGUGUCUAAUAUCAUGAAGGGUAAAAUAUGGAUUGGAUUGGACUCAUGGAUGUGGUAAUGGGUGUGGUUGUAAUGGACAGGGAGGAGGCAGCACUGUGGUGGUAGUAAUUUUGCUCAGGAGUGGUGGUUGGUUUGAAGAGUGUUUGUUUGAAAAUGAGUUCAAUCAGCAGGAGCCGAAGCAACAGCAGAAGCCGCAGCAGGAGCCCGAUGGAUCGCAAGAUCCGUACAGAACGCUACUCCUAUAGAGAUGCACCAUACAGGAGGGAGACACGUCGGGGUUUCAGGUUCACUGUUUUUAAGUUGUCAAAAUCACUGCUUAAAACAUCGUUGCAAAUAAUAUAUAGACAACUGUUUAACAUGAAGCAGUACAGGUUCUGCUACAUAUUGCUAUUGUACUGCUUAGUACGGUCUAAAAAAUCUAUUUGAAUUUCGAACACAAAUUUGAAGUUGAUAUUUGCCUCUACUUUUCUCCUUCGUUAUUCUUGGUACAUCAGAUAUUUAUAUGCAUUUUUUCAAGGAAAAGCAUUGGCAUACACUAGAACGUAAUAGUUUGUAAGAAUAUAUAAUUGUUUGUAAUCUUUUAAAACAAAACUAGAUGGGUAUUUCUUUGUGAUAUUAUGAACUGGAGCUGUCAAAAUCAUCUCUUUGAAAUAUUUGCUCAUUCCUCCCCCCUCCUUAUGUGUGUGUUUUAAUUUCAAUAUUAACCCUUGUUUGUUU